rnacentral:rRNA from 1 species
AGCGAACGCUGGCGGCAGGCCUAACACAUGCAAGUCGAACGAAGUCUUCGGACUUAGUGGCGGACGGGUGAGUAACACGCGGGAACGUGCCUUUAGGUUCGGAAUAACUCAGGGAAACUUGUGCUAAUACCGAAUGUGCCCUUCGGGGGAAAGAUUUAUCGCCUUUAGAGCGGCCCGCGUCUGAUUAGCUAGUUGGUGAGGUAAAGGCUCACCAAGGCUACGAUCAGUAGCUGGUCUGAGAGGAUGACCAGCCACAUUGGGACUGAGACACGGCCCAAACUCCUACGGGAGGCAGCAGUGGGGAAUCUUGCGCAAUGGGCGAAAGCCUGACGCAGCCAUGCCGCGUGGAUGAUGAAGGUCUUAGGACUGUAAAAUCCUUUCACCGGUGAAGAUAAUGACUGUAGCCGGAGAAGAAGCCCCGGCUAACUUCGUGCCAGCCGCCGCCGUAAGAC